GAUGAAGAACGUAGUGAAAUGCGAUAAGUAAUGUGAAUUGCAGAAUUCAGUGAAUCAUCGAAUCUUUGAACGCACAUUGCGCCCGCCAGUAUUCUGGCGGGCAUGCCUGUUCGAGCGUCAUUUCAACCAUCAAGCCCCAGGCUUGUGUUGGAGCCCUGCGGCUGCCGCAGCCUCCCAAAACCAGUGGCGGGCUCGCUAUCACACCGAGUGCAGUAGUUUACUCUUCGCUCAGGGCGUGUGGCGGGUGCUAGCCGUAAAACCCCCAACUUCUCAAGGUUGACCUCGGAUCAGGUAGGAAUACCCGCUGAACUUAAGCAUAUCAAUAACGGAGGA
rnacentral:misc_RNA from 1 species